GUGCAUGCAGCCCCUGUCACGUACCCCUUGCUUGACUGAAUCAAUCACGACCCUUUCAUGUAAAAUCUUUAGUGUUGUGAGCCCUUAAAUGGGACAGAAACUGUGCACUCAGGGAGCUUGGAUUUUAAGGCAGUAGCUUGCCGAUGCUACCAGCUGAAUAAAGCCCUUCCUUCUACAACUCGAUGUCUGAGAAGUUUUGUCUGCAGCUCGUCCUGCUACAUUUCUUGGUUCCCUGACCGGGAAGUGAGGUAAUUGACGGACUGCCGAGGCAGCACCUUAGGCGGCUUAGACGUGCCCUGUGGAGCAUCUCUGCGGGGGACUCCAGCCAGCCUGAGUGACGCGAUCCAAACAGCGCUCCUGGGUAGGAAAAUGCCCCAGUGGGAUGCCUCACCAGAGCAGCGCUUGGCAGGCCCCCGCGGAGGAUAAACACAGUGGCUGAACACCAGGAAGGAACUGGCACUUGGAGUCCAGACAUCUGAAACUUGAGCCUGCGGUUAAUCAGUAUUUGAACCUGAAUCUCAAGGAUCUUCUUAUGCUAAGCCUGAGACCAGACCAAGAGGAUACAUGGCACAGUGCUUUUGACCAUCUUGACCAGAACCACAAAACCCAGGAAAUUUCUCAGAAAUGGAUGUUCUCUACUGAUUUCCAAACCUUAGGUAUGUCUUCUUAGCCUAUCAGAGCUGCUGAGACUGCAUUCUGGGUCUUUUAUCUCAGCUGGAUUAUUCACACCUAAAGAAGACUGACUGAGAUGUGUUGGCGGGCUUCUCAAGAUCCCUAUCGAUGGCAGAAUGCUGACAUGAGUUGCCCAUAGUCCAGGUUUCCCAAUGUAGCAGAUGACUCUAGCGGCUCCAGCUUCAGCAUCAUCUUAAGUUCAAGUGAAAAGGAAAAGAGAAUCUCUUUUUCUUCAAACAAUUUCAAACUAAAAUCUUGAGUCUGACUUUUCCUGGCCAGAAUUAAGCUUGUACUUAUCCCUGAAAAAUCAUCAAUGCUACAGUGAUGAAUUUACCAAUUGAGGCAGAAUUUAGGUCACAUGACGCUCCAAAGCCUCUUCAAAACCGCAUGACUCAGAGUGAGGCAGAAGUAUUUGGGAUAUUUGCAACAGGAGAAGGGUAAAUGAAUGGAGAGUGCCAAAACAACUUAUGUCAAUUAUACAAUUAUAAAUACAACCAAAAUAAAGUAUGGAAAUCAGUAUUUUCACCUAUCUUAACAGAGUGAAAGAUUUAUUCUGUUGAAUAUUUGCCAUAUUUCACUUUCCACAUUCAGCACUCUGCAAUAUUUAAAGAAGAAAAUAAGUCUCCAUAUACUGAAUAAAGACAUAUCAAAAUUUGUGUGACAUCAUAUUCCUUAGUUACAUUUUUUGUUCAUUCAUUUGUGUGUUUGUUUAUGUCACCCACACUAGAUCAUGGUGGUGUGAACAUGGUUCACUACAGCCUCAACAUCCUGGGCCCAAGCAAUCCUCCCACCUCAGCCUCCUGUGUAGCUAAGACCACAGGUGGGCACCACCAUGCCCAGCUACCUUUUAAUUUUUUGUAGAUAUGGGGGUCUCACUUUGUUGCCCAGGCUGGUCUCGAACUCCUGGGCUCAAGCUAUCCCCACAACACUUUGGUUUGGCCUCCCAAAGUGUCGGGAUUACAGGUGCGAGCCAGUGCACUCAGCCUUACAUUUUUUAAUAAAUGAAUUUAAACAAAGAAUAGAAACAUAUUUUUAAACACACCAAUUAACAAACCAAAGUGUAUUGCAAAUUAUUGGAAGGGACAGCAGAGUGAAAAAAUGUUAUCCCACCUGCAGGAGGUGGAAAAGGUGAUAAUAUGAAACAAAUAUUUCCACCUAUCCUAAUAGAGUAAAAGAUUUAUUCUGCUGGAUAUUUUCUGUAUUUUACCUACCUUCCACAUUCAGCACUCUGCACUCUCUUGCCCAACUAUUCCUUUUAAUUUUCCCAUAAUACAACUUUUUAAUAUUUUAUGUAAUAUAUGUAUUUAUUUCUUUCUUUUACUAACUGUGUUUCCUACUGGAAUGUAAGCUUCAAAAAUUCAGAGAUCUUUGUCCUUGUUGCUGAUAUAGCCUACUGUCUAAAAAAAACUUCAGAUAUUUAAUUUUUUUAACUUUUAAGUUCAGGGGUACAAGUGCAAGUUUGUUACAUAGAUAAACAUGUGUCAUGGGGGUUUCUUGUGCAUAUCAUUUAAUCACUCAGGUAUUAAGCUUAGUACCCAUUAGUUAUUUUUUUCUGAUCUUCUCUCUCCUCCUAUCCUUCACUCUUCAAUAGGCCCCAGUGUGUGUUAUUCUCCUCUAUGGGUCCAUAUGUUCUCAUCAUUUAGCUCCCACUUAUAAGUGAGAGCAUGCAGUGUUUGGUUUUCUGUUUCUGUCAGUUUGCUAGGGAUAAUGGCCUCCAGCUCCAACCAUGUUCCUGCAAAGGACAUGAUCUCAUUUUUUUUAUGGCUGCAUGGUAGUCCAUGGUGUAUAUAUACCACAUUUUCUUUAUCCAGUCUAUCAUUGAUGGGCAUUUAUAUUGAUUUCAUGUCUUUGAGAUUGUAAAUAGUGCUGCAGUGAACAUAUGUGUGUAUGUGUCUUUAUAAUAUAAUGAUUUAUGUUCCUUUGGGUAUAUACCCAGCAAUGGGAUUGCUGGGUCAAAUGGUUUUUCUGUCUUUAGGUCUUUGAGGAAUUGCCACACUGUCUUCCACCAUCUUUAUUUCUGCCUUCGUUUCGUUAUGUACCAGUAGUCAUUCAGGAGCAGGUUAUUCAGUUUCCAUGUAGUUGAUCAGUUUUGAGUGAGUUUCUUAAUCCUGAGUUCUAGUUUGAUUGCACUGUGGU
rnacentral:lncRNA from 10 species